GACGAACGCUGGCGGCGUGCCUAACACAUGCAAGUUGAGCGACGAACCAGGGCUUGCCCUGGGGCAAAGCAGCGAACGGGUGAGUAACACGUGGGUAACCUACCCCGAUAACCGGGACAACCCGAGGAAACUCGGGCUAAUACCGGAUGUGCUCACUGGACUUCGGUUCAGUGCGUAAAGGAAGCUUCGGCCUCCGUAUCGGGAGGGGCCCGCGGCCCAUUAGUUUGUUGGUGGGGUAACGGCUCACCAAGACCGCGAUGGGUAGCUGGUCUGAGAGGACGAUCAGCCACACUGGGACUGAGCCACGGCCCAGACUCCUACGGGAGGCAGCAGUGGGGAAUCUUGCGCAAUGCGCGAAAGCGUGACGCAGCAACGCCGCGUGGGGGAAGAAGGCCUUCGGGUUGUAAACCCCUUUCAGGAGGGACGAAGGUUCGGCGGUGAAUAGCCGUCCGGACUGACGGUACCUCCACAAGAAGCCCCGGCUAACUACGUG
rnacentral:rRNA from 1 species